rnacentral:rRNA from 1 species
AGAGUUUGAUCAUGGCUCAGGAUGAACGCUAGCGGCAGGCCUAAUACAUGCAAGUCGAGCGGCAGUUGGUGUAGCAAUAUACUAAUGAGAGCGGCGCACGGGUGCGUAACGCGUAUGCAACCUACCUUUUACAGGGGGAUAGCCCGGAGAAAUCUGGAUUAAUACCCCAUGGCACUAUUGAUUGGCAUCAAGAGAUAGUUAAAGAUUUAUCGGUAAGAGAUGGGCAUGCGUCUGAUUAGCUAGUUGGCGGUGUAACGGACCACCAAGGCGACGAUCAGUAGGGGUUCUGAGAGGAAGGUCCCCCACACUGGCACUGAGAUACGGGCCAGACUCCUACGGGAGGCAGCAGUAGGGAAUAUUGGGCAAUGGUCGGAAGACUGACCCAGCCAUGCCGCGUGCAGGAAGACGGCCUAUUGGGUUGUAAACUGCUUUUAUCUGGGAAGAAAAAGGCCAUGCGUGGCAAAUUGCCGGUACCAGAUGAAUAAGCACCGGCUAACUCCGUGCCAGCAGCCGCGGUAAUACGGAGGGUGCAAGCGUUGUCCGGAUUUAUUGGGUUUAAAGGGUGCGUAGGCGGCUGAUUAAGUCAGCGGUGAAAGACUUCGGCUUAACCGGAGCAGUGCCGUUGAUACUGGUCAGCUUGAGUGCUGCAGGGGUACAUGGAAUUGAUGGUGUAGCGGUGAAAUGCAUAGAUACCAUCAGGAACACCGAUAGCGAAGGC